GCUUAACGCGAAGAACCUUACCUGGCCUUGACAUGCCACCAACGAAGCAGAGAUGCAUUAGGUGCCCGUAAGGGAAAGUGGACACAGGUGCUGCAUGGCUGUCGUCAGCUCGUGUCGUGAGAUGUUGGGUUAAGUCCCGCAACGAGCGCAACCCUUGCCAUUAAUUGCCAUCAUUUAGUUGGGCACUUUAAUGGGACUGCCGGUGACAAACCGGAGGAAGGUGGGGAUGACGUCAAGUCCUCAUGGCCCUUAUGGCCAGGGCUUCACACGUAAUACAAUGGUCGGUACAGAGAGUUGCCAAGCCGCGAGGUGGAGCUAAUCUCAGAAAGCCUAUCGUAGUCCGGAUUGUUCUCUGCAACUCGAGAGCAUGGAGUCGGAAUCGCUAGUAAUCGCGGGUCAGCAUGUCGCGGUGAAUACGUUCCCGGGUCUUGUACACACCG
rnacentral:rRNA from 1 species